rnacentral:rRNA from 1 species
GUGGGGAAUCUUCCGCAAUGGACGAAAGUCUGACGGAGCAACGCCGCGUGAGUGAAGAAGGUUUUCGGAUCGUAAAGCUCUUUCGUUAGGGACGAACGUGCUCUUUGUGAAUAAUGAGGAGUAAUGACGGUACCUAAAUAAGAAGCCACGGCUAACUACGUGCCAGCAGCCGCGGUAAUACGUAGGUGGCAAGCGUUGUCCGGAAUUAUUGGGCGUAAAGCGCGCGCAGGCGGGAUAUCAAGUCUGUCUUAAAAGUGCGAGGCUCAACCUCGUGAGGGGACAGAAACUGGUAUUCUUGAGUGUCGGAGAGGAAAGUGGAAUUCCAAGUGUAGCGGUGAAAUGCGUAGAGAUUUGGAAGAACACCAGUGGCGAAGGCGACUUUCUGGACGAUGUCUGACGCUGAGACGCGAAAGCUAGGGGAGCGAACGGGAUUAGAUACCCCAGUAGUCC